GACGAACGCUGGCGGCGUGCUUAACACAUGCAAGUCACGGGGGCUCGCAAGAGCAACCGGCGAACGGGUGCGUAACACGUGAGCAACCUGCCGAUCUGAGGGGGAUAGCCGGCCCAACGGCCGGGUAAUACCGCAUACGUUCUCGAGGGGGAGUCCUCUUGAGAAGAAACCUCCGGGGCAGAUCGAGGGGCUCGCGGCCUAUCAGCUAGUUGGUGAGGUAACGGCUCACCAAGGCAUCGACGGGUAGCUGGUCUGAGAGGAUGGCCAGCCACAUUGGGACUGAGAGACGGCCCAGACUCCUACGGGAGGCAGCAGUGGGGAAUCUUGCGCAAUGGCCGAAAGGCUGACGCAGCGACGCCGCGUGUGGGAUGAAGCAUUUCGGUGUGUAAACCACUGUUGCCCGGGACGAACAUCCUCUUUCGAGAGGACUGACGGUACCGGGUGAGGAAGCACCGGCUAACUACGUGCCAGCAGCCG
rnacentral:rRNA from 1 species